UACGAAGGGGGCUAGCGUUGUUCGGAUUCACUGGGCGUAAAGGGUGCGUAGGUGGUCGGAUAAGUCUGAUGCGAAAUCUCCGAGCUCAACUCGGAAAUGGCAUUGGAUACUAUUCGGCUGGAGGGUUGGAGGGGGGACUGGAAUACUUGGUGUAGCAGUGAAAUGCGUAGAUAUCAAGUGGAACACCAGUGGCGAAGGCGAGUCCCUGGACAACUCUUGACACUGAGGCACGAAAGCUAGGGGAGCAAACAGG
rnacentral:rRNA from 1 species